UUUUGAAUUAUAAGUAGCUCAAAGUUGCUAACUACAUAUAAUACCUUGAUUGAUAAUGGAUAUCUUUAGGUUCUUACUAUUCUGCCUUACUUUGAUCUUGCUUUCAUUUUUAACAGAUGCUCGCUCUGUCAGGCCUAUUGGGGUUGCCAGAGAAGCAUUCGAGGCACAAUUUAGACGAGAAAUGACAGAUGAAAGCGAAGGCAAGUGGCCUGUGCGACUAAGUCCAGGAGGUCCUGAUCCACACCAUCACUAAAAAUUUGACUUAUAUGAAGUUCCAGUGUCACAAGUUUAAUUUAUUGGCUUGGGCUGGGCGGUUGAAAAUAAAUCUGCAGCGUUUUAGUAUGAUUUUCGGCUUCCAUACCAUAUAUGUCAUGCAAAUAAAGAUGACUAAUGUAGUUGAUUACUGGAUCCAAAUAUAUAUGGUAUACGUUAUAUAUAGUUUUCUUAACAGCACUGAUGUUUUUAAAUUUCUGUUUUUUGUAGUAGUGACAAGAAAAUAUAUAUCCUGCAACACUAUUAAUUUAUUAAGAUCUUAGCC
rnacentral:lncRNA from 1 species